GUUGUAAAGAAUAUCUCAGCAGGAAAGGUUGUAAAGAAUAUGAUUACUAUCUGGGUGGACUCCUUGUUCAUUUUUAUUCACCAAUAAAUUGUCUUCUUUCUUAUUUGAAGAUAAGUACGUAUAAUUUUCUAUAUUUUUCAGAAACCUUAUUGCUUCAUAUAUUCUGCAUCUUAUCUGCAUAGGCAAAGGCUCUUUGUGGUGGUUGGUGGAGGAGCUGUAGGUUUUGCUGCAAUCUGAGGGAUUGGUAGUGUGCUUAUGUGGAAUUCAUUGGAAUUAAGUGGACUUGAGAAGUAUUAGUACACUUUGUUACUAAUUUGAAUUGCUGAUUGGAAGACCUUUCCAACCAGAGCUUAAUCCGGCUAUUCUUGCUUCUAAAAUGCCCUUGAGGUGGAGUCUUUGUAUGAGCUAUAUAUAUAAGAAACUAAGCAGCUCUGUAGUUAAAGAUGGCUUAUACACAAGGUGUGUGCUUCCUCCUAGUACUGUUCUAGCUCUUUGAAGUUUAUAAAAUAUGUAUCUCAUAUGAAUUAUGUUUGAAAACUUGAUUACUAACUACUUUGAGGUUACUUGAAUAACAACUGAGUUGCUCUGCUAUUCAACUCAAAAUCAGUUGCAAUGUAACUCUCUCCACAGUUCCCAGUACCCAUUGCCAUUUAAUUUAAGGUUGAGUACAUUAAUUCUUGUGAGUACUCACAAUUUACACAAUUUUUGUGAGUAUUCAUUAUAGUGUUCAGGUGUAUAGGAGACCAAAUAUUAUAAUUUACAAUUUUUGUAUCUCCCCUUUAUCUGUUUCUUGUAAUAACAUUCUUGUAAUAGCUCUUCUUUUCAUUACGUAACAACACUGAUGUUGCUCUUGUGUCGGGGUGCUCGACAUUACCUACCUUGUGCUCGUGCUGCAAUAAAAUACAUCAUUCUGGCUAUCUCUGGUCAUAUGGAUGAUAUCCUGGGAAAGUAUAAGGAACUUAAACACAGGAUACUGUUUCUUUUAGAGAUGCUAGAGCCAUUCCUUGAUCCCGCUAUAGGCAGAUUCAAGGAUAAAAUAGCCUUUGGAGAUCUAUCUUGUGCAUAUCCAGAAACACAGGAACGGAAUUGUGCUAUUGCUAUUAAUGUGAUCUGUACAGCAGUGCAGAAACCAGCAGUUCUUCCUUCACUAGAAUCUGAAUGGAGGCGUGGAUCAGUUGCUCCUAGGUAAUACAUGGUUGUAUUAUUCCAGAUCUUCUCUUGUGACUUUCUGAGCAGAUAUAGACCUUUCCGUAGUGGCCUUGCAAAUUUGAGAAAUACUUGGGUGAGAAGGACCUAUGAUGUUAAUUUACAUAUGUUUGAGUGUAUAGGAGACCAAAUAUUAAAAGGCCUAGAAAGGCUUUUAUUUGCAAAUUUAUAU